CAGAAUGUACGCUGGCGGCGUGCUUAACACAUGCAAGUCGCACGAGAACGCUUCAGCUUGCUGAAGCUAGUAAAGUGGCGCACGGGUGAGUAACGCGUGGGUAAUCUACCCUCGAAUUGGGGAUAACAUCGCGAAAGCGAUGCUAAUACCGAAUGAUAUCUUAAGAACCUCGGUUAUUAAGAUCAAAGGUGGCCUCUACAUGUAAGCUUCUGUUUGGGGAUGAGCCCGCGUACCAUUAGCUUGUUGGUAGGGUAAUGGCCUACCAAGGCUACGAUGGUUAGCUGGUCUGAGAGGAUGAUCAGCCACACUGGAACUGACACACGGUCCAGACUCCUACGGGAGGCAGCAGUGAGGAAUAUUGCGCAAUGGGGGAAACCCUGACGCAGCAACGCCGCGUGAGCGAAGAAGGCCUUCGGGUUGUAAAGCUCUGUCGAAAGGGACGAAUCCGUUGGGUGUUAAUAUCACCUAGCGCUGACGGUACCUUUAAAGGAAGCACCGGCUAACUCCGUGCCAGCAGCCGCGGUAAUACGGAGGGUGCAAGCGUUGUUCGGAAUUACUGGGCGUAAAGCGCGUGUAGGCGGCUUUUUAUGUCGGGUGUGAAAGCCCUGGGCCCAACCCAAGGAAGUGCGCUCGAAACUGGAAAGCUUGAGUACGAUAGAGGAGGACGGAAUUCCUAGUGUAAAGGUGAAAUUCGUAGAUAUUAGGAAGAACACCGGUGGCGAAAGCGGUUCUCUGGAUCGAUACUGACGCUAAGACGCGAAAGCGUGGGGAGCAAACAGGAUUAGAUACCCUGAUAGUCCACGCCGUAAACGAUGGAUACUAGUUGUUGGGAGCUUAUAAACUUUCAGUGACGACGCUAACGCAUUAAGUAUCCCGCCUGGGGAGUACGGCCGCAAGGUUAAAACUCAAAGGAAUUGACGGGGGCCCGCACAAGCGGUGGAGCAUGUGGUUUAAUUCGACGCAACGCGAAGAACCUUACCUGGGUUUGACAUCUGGGGAAUUUCUUUUAAUCGAGAAAGUGCCCUUCGGGGAGCCCCAAGACAGGUGCUGCAUGGCUGUCGUCAGCUCGUGUCGUGAGAUGUUGGGUUAAGUCCCGCAACGAGCGCAACCCUCGCCUUUAGUUGCUACCAUUUAGUUGGGCACUCUAAAGGGACUGCCCGGUUAACCGGGAGGAAGGUGAGGAUGACGUCAAGUCCUCAUGGCCCUUACGUCCAGGGCUACACACGUGCUACAAUGGUCGGUACAAUGGGUCGCC
rnacentral:rRNA from 1 species